GUCUUAGUCGGGCGGGGGGAAAAACACAUUAAGUGAUGAAAUAAAAAGUAUGAAAGCCUAGAAUGUCAGAUAUUUUACACACAAAAAUACUAUAAUAAUGCUAGGCUACAUCAAUUAUAAUGGAACAAAAAGACUACAAACAUUAUAAAUGUGUGAGCACAGCUUUUUUAGGAAAUUAAUUAAAUAUAAAGAGCUAUUGAUGGCGGUCAUACGGCAAUGAGGUCAGCACCAAAGCCAGGCACAAGAGUACCCAUGGAUGAAUUUUCAACUGGAAUAAUCAAGCUUUAUUUACUUCUUGUGGCCAUCGUUUUAACCUUUUAUUUAUUGAGAUGCCAAGACAGAGCAAAACGGUACACAAUUAACCGGUUAAAUUUAUUUUUCACAAGGCCUGCUAAGAGAUUUGGUUGCAAUUACUCUCAAAUUGCUUUAGAAGGUUUGGCAAGUGAGACAAUACUAGAAAAAUGAGACAUUUUCAAGUCAUAUUGUUUUGAGAGGCAGGUCCUGAGAAGGUUCAAGUCCUAUAAGAAGGGUGUGCUACGCCGAGGUUGCUUUUCUGGGCGGGUUGGGGAUGCCAGACUCAAAAAGUCCCCCGAUCUGUACUCUGAACCGAGAUUCUGGACGUUGCUACCCAAUUCUUCAUAUGUAAAAAUAAACUGUGUGGUUGGGCAUGGUGGCUCACACCUGUGACCCCAGC